GACGAACGCUGGCGGCGCGCUUAACACAUGCAAGUCGAACGGAAAGGCCUGCUUUCCCUUGUGGAUUGCGGGUACUCGAGUGGCGAACGGGUGAGUAACACGUGAGUGAUCUGCCCCCAACUUGGGUAUAAGCCUGGGAAACUGGGUCUAAUUCCCGAUAGGACUGCAGGGUGGUUCCUGUGGUGGAAAACGAUUUUCUAGUGGGUGGGGAUGAGCUCGCGGCCUAUCAGCUGGUUGGAGGGGUAAUGGCCGACCAAGGCGGCGACGGGUAGCCGGCCUGAGAGGGUGGACGGGCACAUUGGGACUGAGAUACGGCCCAGACUGCUGCGGGAGGCAGGAGUGGGGAAUAUUGCACAAUGGGCGGAAGCCUGAUGCAGCGACGCCGCGUGGGGGAUGACGGCCUUCGGAUUGUAAACUCCUUUCGAGCGCGAGGAAGCCACCUGGUUGGAAGGGUGGUGACGGUAGUGGUAGAAGAAGCACCGGCUAACUACGUG
rnacentral:rRNA from 1 species